UGGAUGUUCUUAUCUGAGGGACGAGUUUACACUUUAUACACCACCAAAGCACGCAGGGCUGUGCAUGUAUGUAUGUUUGAAUGGCUCGCUGGAACAAUAGCAUUUGCAAAUGAUUUGAAAAUUCAACAAUAUUGGAUUCUACGUAUAAAAGACCUUCCUGGUGUGAUAAUGUUCAGUCAGACGGAGAUGAUCACAGAGAAGGAAAAAGGAACUAUUCUGGGGGAGGUCUGUCAGAUUUCAUCCUAGGAUUCACCGAUGAGCCCAUUCUAAUCAUUCUGUAGCAGUGCUGUGUUCUGUGGCUCAAAUCAAACAGCUUACAAAUCAGAUGAGCUUCACGAGUCUUUCAUUGGCUCAUUACUUCACAGUUCUCUCUGCACAUUUCUCUUGUCCUAUUUCUGUCUCUUUCCUUCCACUCUCGACCUCUGCCCCUCCCUUUCCCUUCUUCCCUUCCCUUCUUUUUCUCUCUCACCUUCUCUCCCCCUCUGCCCAGUCUUUUUAUCAUUCUCCUUGCAUUUCAUUUCUUUCUCCCUCUCACCAUUUCAGCAAGUUGGUUGAUCUCGUACUCUCUCUUGUACUCUCUGUAGAUCAUUAACUGAGACUAUUAUGAUGUUUAAUAUAAUGUCAUGGAAUGUAAAACUAAGAGUCAAACAGAAAAACUAACAGUCAUGGGUCGCAAACCUGAUAAGUAAGAUCAUGGAAGAUAAACAGCCUCAAUUUAUACACGUAUUCUUUCAAUAUACAUACAUGUAGUGAUCAACUCAUCCAUUAGAGAAAAUUCCAUUUUGUGGAAAUUAAGUGGACAAUAAAGUUUAUUCUGUUAUUUUCUGUUCUUUCCUCCUCUCUUUCUUUUUUCUCUAUUCCUCCCUCUCGUUCCUUUUCUCUCCUCCCCUGUCUUUCUCUCUCUGCCCCCCACUCCUUUCUUCUCCAUCUCUGGUUAAUGUCAGCAGGCUCUGGGCAGGUGCUCAAGAAAAUCAAGAUUUUCCUAGAAGUCCCUCUUCCUUCCAGCAGUUACAGUUUUACAGGAACAGAGCGGCUCUGUAUUCACACUCACAACACAGUGACCCACCAUGGACCCCUAUUCAUACUGCACAUGCCAAAAAACACACACACACACACACACACACGCAGGAAGAGCCACAGCCUGAGUAGUUGAGUAGCUUGAUUUUUUAUGAAGCUGAAAACUUUUCCUGUUUUUCCAAACAGGAAACAAGAAAUGCUGUGAAAUCAAAACUCAAGAAAUUGGCACAUCAGCAUGUGCCCCCCAGCAUGGGCCUAUUAUUCCAUUAUUAAUCUUAGGCUUAGACUUAUUAUUGUUGUUUUUCUGAACAUUCCUUGUUUAACUUAUUCUUAAUCAUUACUACUAUUACUAUUGUUAUUAUUGUCAUUUGUACAUGUUUAUUUCAUUUUUUUUUUACAUU